rnacentral:lncRNA from 1 species
UCUUGUAUAUUGCUAUUCUUUUUUUACUUUAACAAGUAACAAUGUAUCUUUGUUGUUUGUUGUUUUAUUUUUUGGUACAAUCCUGCGUUGGAUUUAUGUAAUCUGCUUCUGUGCUUUACUAUGUGUUUGUGUGGUAUCUCGUGCCUUGAGCCGGGGGUCUAUCGGAAACAGCCUUUCUACUUCGUCAGAGGUAGAGGUAUGGACUGCGUACAUUAGAGGUAUGGACUGCGUACAUCUUACCCCCC